rnacentral:lncRNA from 1 species
GGACAAGAGUUGUCCACUUAUCGGUUGACCCAUCACCAAUAACUGUUAGGUGAGGUGGUGAGCCAGUCGGUGAGACCACACCACCCACUAAAAAUCACUAAUCAUGGAGAUUUUCACAUCUCUACCUAGGGAGUGUAGUGAUCUGAGAAAAUAGUGGGAGCCUAAUUUGUUUAAAAAUGAAACUCCUAAAUAAAUUGGUUAAGUCUGAUAACAAAAUCUAACUAAAAAUUUUUGACUCUCUACAGGAGACAUGUCUGCAUCCAAACCCCUAACCAAAAUACUAGACACCCACAGAUUGACUAGACCCAAUUUUAAGGACUGAUUGAGGAACUACAGAAUUAUUCUAGAUUUUGAGAAACUGGCUCAUAUCUUGGACCAGGACCCACCUGCCAUGCC